rnacentral:ncRNA from 1 species
CCCGCCGAGGGGCGCUGCGACCGGAGGGGUUCCCCGAUGGCCAGGCUCGGCGCGGUUUCCCGUACAACGGCGCCCCCGUAAC